GCCUUGCUCAACUUGUAGAGCAUGGCGUUACCACUGCCAGGGUGAGGAGGUUCAAUUCCCACUGGCCAUGCUCA